rnacentral:rRNA from 1 species
UACGGGGGGGGCAAGCGUUGUUCGGAAUUACUGGGCGUAAAGAGCGCGCAGGCGGUCGUUUAAGUCGAAUGUGAAAGCCCCCGGCUCAACUGGGGAGGGUCAUUCGAUACUGAUCGACUUGAAGGCAGGAGAGGGAAGUGGAAUUCCGGGUGUAGUGGUGAAAUGCGUAGAUAUCCGGAGGAACACCAGUGGCGAAGGCGACUUCCUGGCCUGUUCUUGGCGCUGAGGCGCGAAAGCUGGGGGAGCAAACGGG